UAGGGAAUCUUGCACAAUGGGCGAAAGCCUGAUGCAGCAACGCCGCGUGAAGGAUGAAGGCCUUCGGGUUGUAAACUUCUGUUCUAAGGGAAGAAACAAAUGACGGUACCUUAGGAGCAAGCCCCGGCUAACUACGUGCCAGCAGCCGCGGUAAUACGUAGGGGGCAAGCGUUAUCCGGAAUUAUUGGGCGUAAAGAGUGCGUAGGUGGUUACCUAAGCGCAAGGUUUAAUUUAGAGGCUCAACCUCUACUUGCCUUGCGAACUGGGCUACUUGAGUGCAGGAGGGGAAAGCGGAAUUCCUAGUGUAGCGGUGAAAUGCGUAGAUAUUAGGAGGAACACCAGCGGCGAAGGCGGCUUUCUGGACUGUAACUGACACUGAGGCGCGAAAGCGUGGGUAGCAAACAGGGUUAGAUACCCUGGUAGUCCACGCCGUAAACGAUGAGCACUAGGUGUUGGGCCCGUUAGGGCUCAGUGCCGCAGUUAACGCAAUAAGUGCUCCGCCUGGGGAGUACGCUCGCAAGAGUA
rnacentral:rRNA from 1 species